GGAGAUAGGGGCAGCGUAGGAGGAGACAGUCCACGAAGGACAAAUCAUUAGACCCCUUCAAAAUCAAGGCGUCGAAUCAGGAGUCGCGGGACGUAACCAGAUGAUAAUGGUUAACCGACACCAGGAUGCUGAUCAAAUUGUCGAUCAACACCGACAAGAAGACUUGGCAGUGGAAAAUAAUUUGACAACUAUUGUCGAAAGGAUUAUGGCUAGAAAUGGCAUGGGUGCUACAUUGCAAAGGCCAUUAUACGCCUCCCCGUUAGCUGAGUUUAUUCUCACAAGAAGACUUGGCAGUGGAAAAUAAUUUGACAACUAUUGUCGAAAGGAUUAUGGCUAGAAAUGGCAUGGGUGCUACAUUGCAAAGGCCAUUAUACGCCUCCCCGUUAGCU
rnacentral:lncRNA from 1 species